ACAGAGACCAACACCAUGAGACAGGAGCAGAUACCCAGUGUACACUCAGACCAUUUGGCUUGUCUGGCCAAAUGGUCAGACAAGCCAUCUUUAUCACACCUUAUGGCUUCUGGACUGAAUGGAGCAGGGCCCUCGAUCCGCAGUGCUCUCUGCCAAACCACCUGCCUGCUGCUGCCCUCCAGUGUACUGGGCCCAGCCCCCAUCCACCUGGACCUGCUUGAGCAGCUGUUGAGGACAGGCUGCACCUGGUGGCCGGGAGGAUGAGUGCCCUGGACGAAAACCAGAGAUGUCACAUAGCUGAGACACUGAUGCUACCCUCUGAGGGAUGGGAAGGGCCCUUGUCUUAUCGUUGUUCUACAGAAAGAUAACACUGACCUGCUUUGACUCCAUGCUUGAAAGGCAUUGCAGCUGCUGUGCUAUCUAUUUGAUGUCCUGUCUCCUGAUAGUCAUCAUGCCAUUGUACCACAGUAAUCUGAGUGAACCUUAAUUCUAUAGUGCAUUACCAAGAGGGCCAACCUAUUUUCUGGAAUUCUGUGCCAAUCUUUGAUUAUAAUCCAUUUGAUACAUUCCAAUACUGUAUAAAGAAAAUAUUUAUUUAAUUGGUUGUAGUAAGAAACCUUAUGUAACCCCCCAAAAGAAAAAGCUAUUUUCAUGUGAAGAAAAUAAAUACUGGUUCAUGUUUCAGUUAUUGCAAGAUUAUACUUGUCAUGGGGCAUUAAUCGUUGGAGUUUAGUGAACUAGAAGUACAUACCUUUAUUACUACCUUGGUUUUAAAUCCAUGAAACAAAUACUCAACACGUUUAAGAUCAAAAAUGGUUUUAAUUCCCAAGAUACAAAUUGUGAAUUCUGUAAACCAUUGCAUAAUGUUGCAGUACAAUUGAACAAGUUAAUGAUACUCUACAAGCAAAAGAUUCAAUACCUUCUACUUAUUUUUUUGUAAAAAGCCAAAUCAGGCCAUUCUUUGAUUCCAUAAAGAUCAACUUUAACACAGGGGAACUCCCAUUGAUCAUUUCUAUGGGGUAGUUGAAUACUAAUUCAAUAUACAAUGUCCUAUGUGUCCAUACUUUAACAAAAUAAGGGACAUGUUUCUCAUUCGUAAUACAAAUGUCUACUUCCAUCGACAUCAGCGUAAAUACAUCUAUGAACUACAGUUCAAUUAAAAACCUUUUAUCCUAGUCGUAACUGAAACCCUGAGAAAAUAAAAUGUAUUCCCCCCCCUUAAUCACUACACUGAUAAAUACAGAGACCGGAAAACUGCAUGUGUCUUACAUUUAUUUCAUUGCUAUACAAUUCACAAAACUAGAUGCUACAUCAUAGCUAACAGAUGAACUGCUCUCCAUUUUAUUCCAGUGACCUAUUAAAUAUCUCAUUUAGAACGGUACAUUCAAUAUUUCAGGGUUUCUAUGUUAAAUGAACAUUUUGAAAUUAACUAUUGGGAACAAUUAAAUGUUUUUAACAAAG